rnacentral:rRNA from 1 species
UUUAACGAGGACCUAUGAGAGGGCAAGUCUGGUGCCAGCAGCCGCGGUAAUUCCAGCUCUCAAGGUGUAUAUCGCCAUUGCUGCGGUUAAAAAGCUCGUAGUUGGAUCUGCGCCUUCGGACUCGGUCCUCCCAACGGGUGCGAACUGAGCUCCAAGGCUACUACUGCUGGUUUUCCCUUGAUGCUCUUCACUGGGUGUCUUGGGUGGCUAGCGAGUUUACUUUGAAAAAAUUAGAGUGCUCAAAACAGGCUAUUGCCUGAAUACCGGUGCAUGGAAUAAUAGAAUAGGAUCUCGGUCCUAUUUUGUUGGUUUUCGGAACUGAGAUAAUGGUUAAGAGGGACAGACGGGGGCAUUCGUAUCGCUGCGUGAGAGGUGAAAUUCUUGGACCGCAGCGAGACGCCCAACUGCGAAAGCAUUUGCCAAGAAUGUCUUCGUUAAUCAAGAACGAAAGUCAGAGGUUCGAAGGCGAUCAGAUACCGCCCUAGUUCUGACCGUAAACGAUGCCAACUAGCGAUCCGCCGGUGGUAAUUACGCCCCGGCGGGGAGCUUCCCGGAAACGAAAGUCUUCCGGUUCCGGGGGAAGUAUGGUUGCAAAGCUGAAACUUAAAGGAAUUGACGGAAGGGCACCACCAGGAGUGGAGCUUGCGGCUUAAUUUGACCCAACACGGGAAAACUCACCCGGCCCGGACACCGUAAGGAUUGACAGAUUGAGAGCUCUUUCUUGAUUCGGUGGUUGGUGGUGCAUGGCCGUUCUUAGUUGGUGGAGCGAUUUGUCUGGUUUAUUCCGAUAACGAACGAGACUCUGGCCUACUAACUAGUGACAGAAUUAUUGCUGUUCUGGUUACUUCUUAGAGGGACAAGUGGUGUUCAGCCACACGAAAUUGAGCAAUAACAGGUCUGUGAUGCCCUUAGAUGUCCGGGGCUGCACGCGUGCUACACUGGAGGAAACAGCAUGCAAAACCAUUGCCGAGAGGCAUUGGUAAACCCGAGAAAAUCUUCCGUGAUCGGGAUCGGGAAUUGCAAUUAUUUCCCUUGAACGAGGAAUUCCCAGUAAGUGUGGGUCAUCAGCUCGCGCUGAUUACGUCCCUGCCCUUUGUACACACCGCCCGUCGCUGCCCGGGACUGAGCCGUUUCGAGAAAAGCGGGGACUGCUGCUGUUGGGGCUUUCGGGCCUUGGCUUCGGUGGAAACCGCUUUAAUCGCAGUGGCUUGAACCGGGCAAAAGUCGUAACAAGGUUUCCGUAGGUGAACCUGCGGAAG